UCUGGACAGGAAGAAAGGGCUCCGGCAUAGAAUGAAAACCUUGGCAUGUGCGGAUGGAUCGUAAAUAUGUUCCUUGGUGACUCAAGACAGAAAGAUGCAGGUGAGGGUCCAGCUGCCUGGGCCCACCGGCCCCCUACUCUGUAGCCAUAAAUUUAAGGAAUGACGGCAGAGACGGAACAGAAGAGAUGAAGAGAAUGAAAAACCCACUCACAACACAGAUGUGGCCUGGCUGAAUUACAUUCAGACCAGCGGCAGUUUUGGUUACCACCGUUUCCUUACUAAACAAGUCUAUUUUGUA